AUGCGCUGGCUUUUCUGGGAAAGAUGUGCUGCCAAGAUUUGUUUUGGAUUCACUUGCAGGGGUGAGAACUUGGAAUUAGAUGGAAAUCUUGCUUUCCUAUUGGGAAUCCAGGUGGAUUGCUACCUUGAAGUUACUGCACUGAACAGUGGCUUAAACAAAGCAGGGGUUUUGUUCUCUAGUAACAAGGAGGUUGGGGUAGGUGAUUGCUGUGUUGGUUCAGCAGCUCACAGAUGUCAGGGUCAGGGUGGCCUCUCGGGUGCCCUUGCCUUUCCCUCAGGUGGCUGCAGUUCCCCUAAAGAAGCUGGAGAAGGCCAAAGGUCAUGCCAGUUCGAAUUGCUCCCUUUUAGAGAGUUUUCUCAGCCGCCCAACAACUGCCAGACUGUGUCACUGGCUACUGCUAUCCACAGAGUGGCCUGAGAAAUAUAGUCUUGGUAGCUGGGCAUAUAACUGCCUUCAACAAAAAUCUGAGUUCUCGUCAUGAGGUAGAUGAUGAUAGAUCUGGAGUGAACAACUAGCCUGUGUCCUGGCUACAAAGUACAGCUGUAAAGGCGCACAGCUUCGGGGCAGAUCAGCACUCUAGCACCUUCACAGGUGGCCGCCCGCCCAGCACCGCUGCUCUGCUCGCAGAGAGCGAGCGCAGAGUGAAGACGGGCUAGGCUUUCUUGCCAGCACUUGCCAAGACUGAGCUGGACUCUCAGCCAAUACACUUGCCCACAUCAGGAUUUUCCAGAGGAGGACCCUGGGAACGUGCACACUCCCUUGGUGGACAUACUCUCUUUAUGGAGGUUCGGAAUGGCAUGAAGAAUAUUCCUACCUUGCUGCUUCCUCAUCGGCUUCAUGUUUCUCUUCUCCAAUUUUCCUGACAGAUUUUUGGAGGAGUCUUGUUUGUGUAUGUGAUCUCCAUACAAGGAUCAUCCCUUUCAUGCCCAGAGGAGGGUCUAUGUAAAGAAAGCUGCUUUACCCCUUUUUGUGACUCCACUACCAAUCUAGGAAUCUCCUGGGUGAAAAACUGCUUCUCAAAACUGCUUCUAUAAGCAGCCCACACCCUGGCUAAGCAAAGGGAGAGGAAACACUUCCCACGUCCAGGGCUGUUCAAAAGAACUUUCUGUGAUGACAGAAAUGUUCUGUCUGCACUGUCCAAGAGGGCAGCCCCUAGCCCCAGUGAACACUUGAAAUGUGGCUAGUGUGACAUUUACAUAAAAAGUACAUUGUAAGUAAUGUAAAUGCAAGUGGCCACGUGUGGCUGGUGGCUGUGGUGUGGCACAGCGGGGCACACACGGCAUCUUGCACUUUAGAGCCAGCUGGGAGGGGUUUGAGCCAGCCCUGCGCCAGGCGUUCCGUGGUCUUCACUAUUCCGCCUUGCCGUUGAACUUGUCUUCUGGAGAAAAAGGAAAAAAUGGAACUAAAUUCAAGAUGUUCACUUGACAUCUCCUCAUUGCACGCAUAAUGGAGAGGGGUCUCCUGGGAAUCGGUCCUGUGAUUGAUUUUAGCGAUUAUUGAUAAUGGGAAAAUGGCGGAGCUGAUCCACGUAGCAAUUCCUAGGGAACAUUGUGUGUUCCUGGUCAGAUAAGUCAGCGGAGAUUAUUUUGUUCUAUUGUGCAAUUCAUUGUGUUACUUUAUUUUUGUUGUAUUAUGGCUGCUAAAUGAUGAUUUCGUGUAUGUUUUUCAAAAUACUUAGUGGUUUAUAUUUUUUUAAAGGCUGUGAAAUAAAAAAUAA
ensembl:lncRNA